rnacentral:rRNA from 1 species
UACGUAGGGCGCAAGCGUUGUCCGGAAUUAUUGGGCGUAAAGAGCUCGUAGGCGGUUUGUCGCGUCUGCCGUGAAAGUCCGGGGCUCAACUCCGGAUCUGCGGUGGGUACGGGCAGACUAGAGUGAUGUAGGGGAGACUGGAAUUCCUGGUGUAGCGGUGAAAUGCGCAGAUAUCAGGAGGAACACCGAUGGCGAAGGCAGGUCUCUGGGCUGACACUGACGCUCAUGCACGAAAGCGUGGGGAGCAAACAGG